AGUAAUGCUUGGGAAUCUAGCUUGUGGAGGGGGAUAACUAUGGGAAACUGUAGCUAAUACCGCGUAGAAUCGGGAGAUGAAAGUGUGGGACCUUCGGGCCACAUGCCAUAGGAUGAGCCCAAGUGGGAUUAGGUAGUUGGUGAGGUAAAGGCUCACCAAGCCGACGAUCUCUAGCUGGUCUGAGAGGAUGACCAGCCACACUGGGACUGAGACACGGCCCAG
rnacentral:rRNA from 1 species